rnacentral:misc_RNA from 1 species
GAUGAAGAACGUAGCGAAAUGCGAUAAGUAGUGUGAAUUGCAGAAUUCAGUGAAUCAUCGAAUCUUUGAACGCACAUUGCGCCCCUUGGUAUCCCAUGGGGCAUGCCUGUUCGAGCGUCAUUUGUACCCUCAAGCUUUGCUUGGUGUUGGGCGUCUUGUCGUAUUACGACUCGCCUUAAAUACAUUGGCAGCCGGCACUUUGGCCUAGGAGCGCAGCACAUUUUGCGAUCGUAGCCCGUUGUACUGGCGUCCAUCAAGAACAUUUACCACGUUUGACCUCGGAUCAGGUAGGGAUACCCGCUGAACUUAAGCAUAUCAAUAAGCGGAGGA